CCUACGGGAGGCAGCAGUGGGGAAUAUUGGACAAUGGGCGAAAGCCUGAUCCAGCCAUGCCGCGUGUGUGAAGAAGGCCUUCGGGUUGUAAAGCACUUUCAGUGGGGAAGAAAGCCUUGGGGCUAAUACCCUCGAGGAAGGACAUCACCCACAGAAGAAGCACCGGCUAACUCCGAGCCAGCAGCCGCGGUAAUACGGAGGGUGCGAGCGUUAAUCGGAAUUACUGGGCGUAAAGCGCGCGUAGGCGGUCUGAUAAGCCGGUUGUGAAAGCCCCGGGCUCAACCUGGGAACGGCAUCCGGAACUGUCAGGCUAGAGUGCAGGAGAGGAAGGUAGAAUUCCCGGUGUAGCGGUGAAAUGCGUAGAGAUCGGGAGGAAUACCAGUGGCGAAGGCGGCCUUCCGGACUGACACUGACGCUGAGGUGCGAAAGCGUGGGUAGCAAACAGGAUUAGAUACCCGAGUAGUC
rnacentral:rRNA from 1 species